rnacentral:rRNA from 1 species
AUUGAACGCUGGCGGCGUGCCUAAUACAUGCAAGUCGAACGGAGUGGCGCACGGGUGAGUAAUAUAUAGCUAAUCUGCCCCUUGCUGGAGGACAACAGUUAGAAAUGACUGCUAAUACUCCAUAGCAAGGGAUGAGACUAUAUCGUAUCAGCUAGUCGGUGGGGUAACGGCCUACCGAGGCUAUGACGCGUAACUGGUCUGAGAGGAUGAUCAGUCACAUUGGAAGUGAGGCACGGUCCAGACUCCUACGGGAGGGGGCAGUAGGGAAUAUUGCCCAAUGGGCGAAUCCCUGACGCAGCAACGCCUCGUAAAGGAUGACACUUUUCGAAGCGUAAGCUCCUUUUGUUAGGGAAGCGGUACCUAACGAAUAAGCACCGGCUAACUCCGUGCCAGCAGCCGCGGUAAUUC